rnacentral:lncRNA from 1 species
AUGAGCCCUGUAACAUUAGUCAAGUUGUGAUGAAAGAACUGUAUUCCUCUUGCUUCUGUAAAUUUGUUUUUUUAAAAAAAAUUUUCAACCUGCUCUGAAAUUUUGAUUCCAACCCGUACCUGCUCUACCGCACAAGCAGUAUUUUUAGGUUUAGCUUAUUACCAAAGUAUUUGAUACCACCUUGGCUCAUUGUUUUCAAAAAUGUAACUCAAAUGUUGAGAACCUCUUUAUUAGAUUUAUCAUAGGUGUCUGAAUCAAAAAUUAAAUAGACCUUUUCAUUUCUAAAAAGUUUAGGAUUGAGGGUGCUGAAUGGGUAAGGAAUAUACUUUUUUGGACUGUAAGCGAGCUGUUCAGAUGGGAUCCCCAAAACAUUUUAAAUAUCCAGUAGUCAAUUGUUAGUGAACCAACCACAAUUAGAGGACACGAUUCUGAAUUAAAAAUGAAUCUUUUUUUAUCCAAAUCAAGGAAAUCAUUUGAAAUUUCGGUUCUUGAGUAGGUAUUUUAAUGAAUAUUCAAUAGAAGACUGACAGUACUAAGAAUACAUUUUAGAAUUACUAUUUUAAUGCUCAUUUUCCUUAGUUCGUAUGAUGUAACAUGCAUGAAAAACCCUGGCUUCUAUCAGGAAGUCCAUUAUUAGAUAUCAACUUGUUUCUCUUCUUUUUUUUCAUUCAGGAAUUUGUGAUUGUGGGGAACUUUAUGAUAAUGUCCCGUCAUUGCACUGAGCUGUGGCAUUGCUUUUUCUUUGUGAAUCAAAAAUUAACUCUUUUUUUACUCAAUAUAAAUAAAAAUCAAGUUCCACUACAUACGCGUAAGUUGAUCAAUUUUAUCUCCUAAUCAAAUUGUUAUACCUCCUUGUUAUUUUGAGCUACUUUCAUCCAAAAAGGAGUACUGAAAGCUGAAGAACAACUUUAAAAUGUGUCAAUAUUUAUUCAAACUGUACUAAAAGCUGACCAAAGAAUACAAAUGAUGCAAGUUUGCAUUUCAACAUCUAAAAAAGUCAAAAAGAGUUUCUACCUUGUGCAUUCAAAAAAUUUAAUCUUAAACAUUUCUUAUUACUCAAUUUAAAUUGGCAAGACUCGCUGGUAAAAAAUCACAAAUGGUGCUAUGAAUUUACUGUCUUAACUCUUCUGAAAAUCUAUUUUAAGCAAGUUUUAAUUGCAGAUGAUCUCCAAGACAAAUUGAUUUUAUUUGAAAGAUUGGUUCGAAAAAUUGAGGUAUUGAUGAUUUCAACUGAAAGUAGUCUUAAAGUAUACUUACUCUGUGAAACUAUCAAUAUCAAAACUCAAUUUUUAAGCAUAAGUGAAUGAGUUUGAACUUCAACUCCGCUGUACGGCUCCAUGUAAUUUUGAAACUUUAAACAUGUAAGUAGUUAUUUUGAAAUAGCAAAACUACAAGUAUCUCCCUUGUCCUCUAAGCCCCUCAAAUAAGAGUUUCUUGUCAAGAAUCUUAUGGAUAUCACUAAUUCAGUUUCAUGCAUGGGAGCGUUCAUGAAUGGAUUGCAUUUUGCAAAAAGGAACCAUGGAGCAUUGUCAUGUUGCGAAGAUAGUGCAACUCCACCCAUAUCAAUACAACUACUGUAAUCAUGCAAAUACAGGGUGUUCCAAAAGUCCAGCCCCCCCCCCCCCUCGCCUUUUAACUUUUGAAAGGUACGAGUAGAAAAAUGAAACUUUGGGAAUGUUCCUAUCUCAAAGGGGACCAUCUUUUGAAGGCUCAAAAUUUGGUCCCUCCCUCAGGGGGGCGGGGCCCCGGCCCCCCAACUUUUUUUUUCAAAUGGCAACCCCUAUCUUGUGAUACCUCAUUCGAAAGAGCAUAGGAACUAAAAAUUUUGGCGCAAACCGCAGAUCAAUAACUUAAUUUUUGACCGAGUUAUGAUUAGUCAAAGGUCAAAUUUGACCUAUUUUCAAAAAAUCAUAACUCCGGUUCAAAUUAUCGUAAAGAGAAAAUAAAGCGGGAAAAUUUACCGAAUUGUGUUCGCUUUUAAGUAAAAAUUGCAGAAAUUACUUCGAACUAAUUUUAAGGGGGGGCGGACCCCCAAAUACGUCAAUUCAAAGGUCAUUCAAUUUUCCCGCGAAAUAAGUCAAUUUUUAAACGGUCAAAUUUAAUCACCUUAAAUUUCGUUUUUUUGAACUUUACCCGAAAUUUGGGGACUUGCCAACGUAAUGUUGAACUGCUUUUCACCUUACUGAGAUAAUGUGGAGGCAAAUCUAGGGGAAAUUGGCUUAUUUCGCGGGAAAAUUGAAUGACCCUUGAAUUGACGUAUUUUGGGGUCCGAACCCCCCUUAAAAUGUAAGACUUGUCCUUCGACGUAGGUCCCUAUCCUUUAAGGCGUAAACACAAAAUGGCGUAACGCUCUCCCCCCUUCCCUUCCCCCAUGGAGCGUUACGUAAUUUAUGAGCGCUCUCUAUGCUGUCGUGUCUAAGAUGAACCCUCAGGCCUUGCCAAAUUUCCUUUGAUAAAACUCAAAUCCAUUGGGAAAAACUCUGAAUAAUUGAUAUUGGUUGACUCGCAAGUGUGCAACUAACGAAUGGGAAUUUUUUAGCACUCCUAAGCACCAACUAGUUUCUCAGGAGAGAAAACAUUUCUCUCGAAAACAACUCCUUAAUAGAGAAAACAUUUCUCUCCUCUGCAUUGAGUAGUUGUUUUUGAGAGAAAUGUUUUCCUCUCCGGAGAGAACAUUCCUCUCCGGAGACGGUAGUAUCUUUCCCGGAGAUGAAAGUUUCUUCUCGAAGACGAAAGUUUCCUUUACGGAGAAGAAACCCCUGUCUCACAGAACGAUAUAUUUUUAUUGGGAACCAUAAUACUAUUCCCGGGGAAUGCUCCUCUUGUACCUGUUCUUUAAAUCUAAAUCAUUUUCAUAAAGUAGAGCUUUCUUUUACACAGUCGCACGCAGUCUGUGGUUUUAACCCAUUUGUACAUUAAUCUUUUAAGUCAAAUUUGUCCCAUUUUGAGCGUUUGGUUGCGCGCACACCACGUUGCAGCAUAGUAAAAGUACUACCUAAAUAUAAAAGAAAAAAAUAAAGUGCUUUGGAAAUCAUUAAAUUUAACACCAAACCACCGAACCACUUUCAAAACACAUAUUAUAUUUUCCUUUAAUACAUAUUUUUUUCAUCUUUUU